ensembl:misc_RNA 7SK 7SK RNA
GGAAAGGUGUGAUGUGAAUCUGUCAUGCCCUUUGAUCAUGUUGACUCAGCUGACUGGCUAAGCGGGUGUUCCCUUUCUCCCUCACCACUCCAUGUGCAUCCCUUCCAAAGCUUUGUGCUCGAAGAGGAUGAUCUUCCUUGAUAGAGGUAGACCAUUCUUUGGUCAAGGGUAUACAAAUAGUUGAGCGUCCCUGCUAGAACCUCCAAAUGAGCUCUCAGGGUCCAUUUGUAGGACCUGAGCUGAAAUCAAGAGUCGGAUGCUUAACCAACUGAGCCACUCUCAGGCGCCCCGUU